UACGUAGGGAGCAAGCGUUGUCCGGAAUCAUUGGGCGUAAAGCGCGCGUAGGCGGCCCUGUAAGUCCGCUGUGAAAGUCAAAGGCUCAACCUUUGAAAGCCGGUGGAUACUGCAGGGCUAGAGUCCGGAAGAGGCAAGUGGAAUUCCUGGUGUAGCGGUGGAAUGCGCAGAUAUCAGGAGGAACACCAAUAGCGAAGGCAGCUCGCUGGGACGGUACUGACGCUAAGGCGCGAAAGCGUGGGGAGCGAACAGG
rnacentral:rRNA from 1 species